UAUUGACUACUACGUUGGUGACUGCCAAUCAAGUUUUUUGAUCUAUACUUGAGUUAUAAGGAAACUAAUUGAGUUCUCGUAGCAGUAAACCGAGCGUUAGUACUCGGAAACGAAAACAGAAUCAUUGGUGUCCACCUGGUUAUCCAGGUCAUAAACUGAGGUAAAACGGCGUAGUGGUUUAUAA
rnacentral:other from 1 species